CAAAAAAAUAAGUCUCAGUUCGGAUUGAAGGCUGAAAUUCGCCUUCAUGAAGCCGGAAUUGCUAGUAAUGGCAGGUCAGCAUACUGCCGUGAAUACGUUCCUGGGCCUUGUACACACCGCCCGUCACACCAUGAGAGUUGGGAAUACCCGAAGCCUGUGAGCUAACUUUUAGAGGCAGCAGUCGAAGGUAGAAUCAAUGAUUGGGGUGAAGUCGUAACAAGGUACC
rnacentral:rRNA from 1 species